GAAAGAGACCUUCUAAAAACGUUAAAAUGUAUUACUGGCACGCGAAACCUUAAAUUAGAGUGAAUAAAUGAAGACUCGGCACACCACUUCUGAAAGGUUGCCGACCCCUGUCCUAUAGGGUCCUACCUUGAUACAUCUAGCCAUUGGCUACUCUAUAACUGUUGGGGGGAGAGAACUGCUUAUAAAUCCCAGGUAGCUCCCAGGGAGACUUUAGCAUCCAGUUUAAAUAAAUCUCAGAUUAGAACUGCAGAUGAUUAACUGGGUUUUGACUUCGUGCAGAGUCUUUGCCACAGAGUACUGGGGUGGAGCAACAUAAUAAAAAUAAUUGGCUUUCCUCUCAAAAGGGCCACGUUAUUUUAAAAAAAUAAAAAUAACAAGGAUAGUGCUUUUAGGGCCUCAUUGUGCAGCAUCACUUGGCAAAACAUCAGCUGCUAUUAGUAAAUGCCAGGUUUAAGAGGCAGGUGCAGUGUGGACAAGUCGACCUGCAUAACCUUGUCAAUGCCCAGGUCUGCUCUGGAUUUAUUGUCAGAUUAUCAACAAGUGAUAUGUAAAGUAGCUUUUUCCCCAGAGCUGUGCAGCUUCUUCCAUUUCCAGCUUUGGACUUGAGAGGAUCCUGCACCCAUCUAGAGACUCCCUGUCUGCUCCCACCCAACUUGGAGAGAUCCCCAUAAUGAGAUCCCUGUAGGACCUCUAAUGUUCCCCAUACAACUCUCCUCCUCCGCCCCCAGACAUUCAGUACUUUCCAGCAUGUCCUCUCAGCACCCCAGUACAUUCCUGCACCAACUCUUUUAUAGAAUCCAUAUGUGCUUCCUGCUUCACUAAUACAGACAUUUUACAAAACCUCCGAUGGGUUUGCCUCUCUCCAACGUGUCAUUCUUUUGCUCCCUUUCUGGAGACUUCCUGAAUUGCAUUUUACUUCCCCGGACUGAGAUUGUGACAGGCCUUUACAUAGGCUUGCAGGGGGAUGGGAGUGCACAAGGACCUUCUCCUCUUGCAUGGCCUGCAAAAGGGGCUACAACAGUGGCAGUCCCUGAACAGCCCAGUGGGUGCACAGUGCUUCAAAGAGGCUGUCAAGGGACAGGGGUAGAGCCUGACCCAGAGCUCCACCACCUCCCCUCUGUGCUGGGCUGAGGAGCAAGUCAGCUGCACUGGUGGAGCAGGCUACACCAUCUUAAGCGAUGGUGUACCCUGCACAGUCUUGCAAAUAGAGCCACUCGUAAACUUGAAGAUGAAUAGUCUGUAGUACGAUUAACAACAGUAUUUGUGUUCUAUUUUCUGUUCCCAACAUUAAAGAGAAAGAUAUUCCCACAAAUAUUUGCACUCUCUUUUAUGUAACUAUUUUGAUACAUCAGCCUAUUUUUAAAAACAUGGAAGAAGACCAGUUCUGAAAGCUGUUGCUAGGUGGGCCAUAAUCAGGGACCUUAGAAAUCCACUUGCCAUGAAAAAACGUGGAAUUUGCGUUUUUACAGAGAAUCUUUCGGUUUUACAUUUUGUGAAAAAAUAAAAACAUAUAUUAACUAUUAACUAAAUUUUACUGAAGUCAGGAUGACCGUAUUUCCCAAAGUGAAAAUGGGACACUGCGUGGGACUGCCUGAGCCCGAGUGCCUGGCGUCGCUGCUCACAUUUCCUCUGCACCCCCCUCGGGGGAGGCGGGAGGUGUCUCACUUUUUUACCAAAACUGGGCAUUUGUCCCGUUUGCUCUUGCCAUCUGAAAAUCAUCCGUUAGCAAGAGCAAAUAGGACAAAUGCCCAGUUUUGCCAAAAAAAUCAGGAUGUCCGGGACAGGGCUUAAAAAUGGGACUGUCUCAGCCAAAACAGGAUGUAUGGUCACUCUAGUUCAACUGAUACCUAUAUAUAUUGUGGCUAGGGAAACUAAAGUUCAGUGUUUCAUUUUAAUCCUGGAAAAAUGUGGAUGAUUAUGGGUUUUUUUUAUCAGAGACUUUUGGCUUUUCUAACAUAGAAAACUAGGAUCCCUGUUCAUAAUAUGUUACUGACCAUGCUAAGAUCAUGACAGAAGCAUGGCUGUGUAGUAGCUAGAGUAGGGACCAAGCCACAAAAUCCAGAUGUGGAUCUUUAACUCUUUGCAGUCUGAGGAUAUUUGGAUUUGGAAUUUUUGUUUUGGCCCUUUAAGAAAUAGAGACCAUCCUCAAAAUGUGGUUCAGGAUCUGGGUUUGGGAGUAAUGGACCAUCUCUGGUUAUACCGUACAGUAUAUAGGAUAGCUGCAGAGGCAUUUAUUUAAUGAAUUAUAAUGCAUCAUCUGAAGGAAAGGGGGGGAAAUGAGUAUAGUUCCCAAUAAUAAAUAAAAGACAAAACUAAAGCCAUUAAAAUAAAUUACAUAUUUAAUCAUACAGAUAAUGGGAUUCUGAGAUAAUGCAGUAUGCCCAUUAUAAUUUUUUAUUCAUUUUUUAUUUAAAGUUUAUUAAGAUUGAUCCAAUACAACAAACUUUACAGUUUACUUUGAUUCAGUUUAACUUUCUAUGAAACAUGCCACAACUGGAACAGCUGUGAAGUACAAGGUUUAGGAAGGAUCAUUUACUUGUGUGUUUAUGAAAAUAGCCUGAACCAAAUCAGAAAAAUGUUGAUAGUUUAGUGGUGUUCCCUCUUUCAUCUGUCUGUGCCAAUCUUGCAAGAUGCCGAGCACCCCCCAUGUCCUGCGGUCAGAACUUCACAGGGGACAUUUGGUGCUUUGCAGAACUGGGUUCUUAGGGAAAUUUUGAACUCUGCUAGCAUUGCUCUUUAUUUGCCAGCUUCUUUUAAAAACAUAUGUUGAAAAUUAACUGGACUAGAUGGUGGGAGCGAGCGCUGCUGGCACUUCUGUGGUUGUCUAGGAAAUAACGCCAAGGCACUAUAGCAACAGAUGUUCAUUUAGUGAUGCAAUGUGAAGGAUGUUGUGUCUUCCGUGAAACAGGUUUAAUAUCUAAUCUAUCCAGAAAAUGUGAGCUGGAGUUAAAAGCUAAUUGGCAGCAAGCCCGGUGCCUUACAGAUUCAUUAUUUAAGAGAACUGUAAGAACUGUGCACAAAUUAACUAAACUGUGGAGCAAAUGCAGAACAGCUGAUAAAUUGAACACUAUCGUGUGUUUUGAGAUAAAAUGGCUCUCCUCUUGGUUUAUUGUUUGUAUUUUUUCAGUUUUCUUUCAAACAUUUUUUAAAUGAAUUAUGUUGCCCAAGAAUGACGUUAUCUGUUUAUAAAAAAAAUAAUCAGAUACAGCAGUAGUGAAGUUGUGAGUUUCUCCAUGCUACUAAUGUGUCUGAACUCCUGGCUUGAAGGGUCCAUUGCUUGAAGUGUGAGGGUAGUUCACCUGAUGUUAACGCAUUCCCUGAAAGGAUGGAACCACUGCAACAAUGACUAUUGAGGAGUUCACAUCUUACAACUUUCAUCCUCUAUAAUUUUGGCAUAGAUAUUUAGUUAGUUAGUUAGACAUUUCUGGGGUGGUCACUACAUUAAAAAGAUUUGAGUAUCUACAUUUUUGAGUGCCCAAACUGAGACACAACAGGUCCCAAUUUCAGAUGCUCAGCACCUUAUGAAAAUCAUGCCCAUUUAAGGUUUCUCAAAUUGAUCACUCAGAAACUGAGGCACGCAAAACCACUAAUCACUUGUGAAAAUAUUUGUUUAUUUAUAGGUUUGGCUGGAGUAACUUUUGUCCUGCAGAUUUUACGUCAGGUACAGUAGUUGAGAUCCUGAUGAACAACUUGGCGGCUAUGUGCUAUUCAGCUGCCAACUAAGGGCGAAGUUAAGAUCCUGCCCAUCUUUGGGAGUGGGAAACAUAUGUUCCUUUCUAUUUUUCAUCUGAUUGUCUGCUGCAGAGUUUGCUACUUUAUCUGAGUGUCCAAGCUUGUGACCUACAUGAGUGGUCUGCGAAACCUUGGACUGCUACAGAGAUGGGAUACUGCUUAGAUGAGUGCAUAAGCUACAGAAGUCAGUUCCAAAAGUUGUAGGUUCUGCAUCGGGGGUAGGGGAGGGACUAGUUGUUAGGCACGGACAGUGUGAUGCUGCAUCAAUGGGGAACCAAGUUUCUUUGUUUUUCCUCUCCUCUCUCUAAUUCCCAAAUACAACUACAAAAACAAUACAGAGAUCACGUAAUCUGAGUGGCCCAUGUUUGGGACUGUUAGUUCUGUCUGUUGAGAGAGUCUCCAUAGUCAGCAAACUAGAUGUUCAUCGAUAGUGUUCUAACUCCCUAUAUUUAUCUACGUCUGCACUGGUGGCACUGUGCUUGCUCACAAGUUGCUCUGCCUGUUUGACUAAGCCACCAUGCAGUUAGAUGUACAGCCUAAGGCCUGCUCUACACUAGAAAAUUAAGUCAGUUUAAUUGCAUUGCUCAGCAGUGUGAAAAACCCACAUCCCUGAGUAAUGGUUAAGCCAACUUAACACCCAAUGCAGACAGCAGUAGGUCAACAGAAGAAUUCUUCCAUUGAGCUAGCUACAGCCUCUGGAGGAGGUUGAUUACUUAUGCUGAUGGGAGAAUCCCUCUCAUCACCAUAUGCAGUGUUUACACUGAUGCACUGUAGUGUUUUAAGUGUCAACAUGCCCUAAGUAACACCAAGAGCAGCUUCUCUCUGCAAGGAACAGAGAAUUAUGAAAGCAAUUGCUUCUUUGCCACAUGUAUCUUCACACUUCACCACACCUGUUGAUACUUACAUGCCACAUAAAAACACCUGAAAAACUGAAGAAAGGAAGAUAAAAUUCUCAGGCACUUGUAUUUGCCAAAACAACAGCUUAUUUUUCAGCUUGCAGUCUAGAAAACGCAUUGAGAUCACAUGGGGAACAAAGUAAUGUAAUCUGCAUGCACCCUGAGGAAAGGUAGCCCCGUGUCAGACAAUGGCAGCUCAGUUACAAAGGAGGAAUGGACAUAGAAUUCCAGACAUGGUUUGUGAGCUCACUCCAAAUUAAGUCCAAGUUAAGUCUGAGUAGUGAGCUCUCUUGGAAAUUUCCAAUAUAUUUGAUAUAACAGCCGGUUAAGUGGGGCCUGAUCCUGUUAUUGCACCCAAUGUAUUUACAUAGUGUAACUCUGUUGACUUCAUUGGAGUUACCCUUGAUGUACACCAACGUAAGUGAGAGAGAAAUUAGGCUCUUUGUAAGUUCUGAAGGUUAUGUCCUUUCCUCUCCUCAGGCAUGCUGAACACUGUUCUGGGAUGCCUGGGGUACUGGUCCUUGGUCUUUAAAAGAAAAUGCUUAUGAAUUAAACAAGCAAAUUGAUGCCAUGCUGCCAACUUAAGCUUCAGUACAUUUGCACCACAGUUAUUUGUACUAAGGUGUCCAACUGCUUUGUUGUGCCUUGGUAAGAAUUUUCUUCAUUAUUUAAAAGGCUAGAAUAACAUUUUGCACACAGUGGGUUGAUCACUUUGAACAGAAUUAUAUUAAUGGGCUGUAGCAAUGCUCUUUUCUGUAGUUUGACACAUCAGAUCCAGUGAGGAUCCCUAAGCAAAUAACAAGAGGUUUCUGCUUGCUGUAUAGAGUUUCAUUAGGGUUAAGUUAUAGACAGAAUUCCAUCCUCUCUUGCCUUGUGAAGCCAGCUGGAGCCCUUUCACUAACACCGUGGGGAAAUCUCAGGGUUUUUGGUAUUGUUUGUUCAGUCAAACAAUUGUUUUUGGAGGUUAGAAUAGGCAGGGAGCUGGAGCUGGGUAUAAAUCUCUGGGGUCAUUGUUAUUUAUAGCUUCUUAGUAUUUAGGUGUACACUGAUGGUCAGCUCCAGUGUUGUUAGUGAGUCAGCCUCAGCAGCAAUCCACAUCUGGGACAUGAGAAUAGCAAAGUCACUGAUUAAAUUGAUUUUGAACAUAGAGAGACAAAGCCAGUGGUAAAAGUACUUGAGCUGCAGCAGUGGAAAGGAGAGACUAAACAUCACCAGAACUAGGCUCGCAGAAACUAGUUUUCAAAUGGAGCUCCAUGUUUCCAGUCUGAACUGUCAGACUGGCACUUUCUUUUAAGGUUUGAUCUAAAGCCUGUCAAUAGGAGUCUUCCCUUUGAUUUCAGGAGGCAGCGGAUCUAGUCCUUAAUGUGCCUCAUUAUCAAUAUGAGCAUCCAAAGGUUGCAUUUAGAUGUCCUAUUAAGGUGUCUGUUCAAACAGGCCAAUUCCUGAGCCUCCAAUUGGUCAGAAUUUUUUUCCUCUAAAAUAACAGAAAAGACAGAAGUUGCUCACUUGACUUCAGUGGGAGCUGCUGGGCACUCAGCACUUUUAAAAAUGAGGCAACGUAUGUAGGUGUCUAAAUAAGGAUUUAGGAGCUUAACUUUAGGUGUCCCUUUUUGAAAAGCUAGGCCUUUGUUUUCACUAAUACUAAAACCAUUCGCUGACCAAACCAGCUUUUUAUUGUUGACCGCCAUAUAGAAGCAAGGAGAUAAUUUUUUAUCGUAGCUUUACCCAAGACUGGUGAAAAUGUCAGUGCUUUCCCUAUACCGAGAAAAAGUGCUUGUUGAUAAAGGAAGCAAUCCAAAAAUCACCACUCAGCUGUAAUAUAGACAAGAACUAGCUAAAAUGCUAAAAUAAUACCCUCUCAGUCCCUCAAUUGCUACCACUGCAAGUUCAGAGCUUUACGUUGUUGCUAAUUUCAGUUUAUUUGCAAACUUUGCUUAGGCAAAUCCUCAAUGAGCAUAUACCUGAAACUAAUUAUUUAAAUAUGAGAUAAACAUUGCAAGCUUCUUUAGCAUACAAUGCUGCUUCUCCUGUUAUAAUGGCAUUUCCACAAAAUUAAAGCCCUUCAUUUCAUGGUUGUGUGCUAUGAUAGUCUCCUUCAAUCUUGUUAAACAUUUGUGCUGUCAGUUUAUUGGGUCCAUUGUUUAUACGGUGGCCUGUCCACCCCUUUUUUAUGCUUGAAAAGGCUUUUACGGUACAUGGAAAAUUAAAGCUGAACCAGUUCCAAAUGCAGCCUUUAAAAUGCUGCCAUAAAGGAGCCUAUCUUCAUAUAGCAGCACUGGCACACUUCCGAAUUGUGGUUAUUCAGAACAAAAUACUGUUGCAGUGUUCUAUAUCCUCAUUUGUACGUAAAUUACAGGAUAUAUAUAUCCUUAUGGAAUUUAGCUAAUACAAGUGAGAAACAUUUCCAGUGACUGAAAUAACAGCACAAAAAUAGUCUUGCUUGUCCUGCUGGAGGUGUCUUUUUUUAAACUCUGAUGUGGUUUCAUGGCUGGACUUUAAAAUGAUCUCCUGCAUUACUUUAAGAAUUGUUAUUUUUGUUUAAUUUCUAUUGAAAUAUAAGUACUAUGAACCAUUAUGCCUAUCUAAUGAUAAUACUAUGUAUUUUGUCCUGGUUGCCUGAUUCCUGGAUGUGUUCUCAAUCUCAGAACACCUCAACUGCCAGUUCUACAUACCACUGUUAGUUAUCUCUCUUUCUAAUAUAGAAAGACAUAUAUAUUCCUUACAAAGGAUAACUGUUCAUAAAUUUCCCCGAGUAACAUUAAUCAUCUUCAAGAAUUUGUAUUGAGGGAAACUUUCUUUCUUGAGUGGUGGUGAAACACGCAAAAGAUUUCAGGCUAGAUUGGGACUUGGAUUCAUACCUAUGCAAGGGAGUAAGAACAUUGCUUACACUUCUGCAUAGUCUACCCAGACCUUGCAUUCUGAUGCUGCAUUGGCAUGGAAUAGGCAGAACUUUGGAUCCACCCCUCACUCACUGGUCAGGGCAGCUGAGCAAGUGGGAGGGGUGUGUGUGUUGUAAUUCGUUGCGGGUGUAGUUCAGCAGCAAAUUACACUCCCUUGCCCCUACUGAGCUAUGAGGAAGCAAGGAAAGAACUAGAACUUAGAUAUAUCUCCUUCAAAAAAUAUUCACUCUACUCACACUGGAUAGUAACUUACUCUGCAAAUAGUCCUUUUAAUAUCAACAUGACUAUUUGCUGAAUAAGGCACUAUGUAACAUUGUCUCAGAAUUGGGCAUACUGUGGUUAUUGAGGAAAAUAGAGAAAUUUGAAAAUCCAAUUGGAUUAGAAAUAUUCAGGUACUAUAAAUAAUAAAUAAGAAGGGAGUUCUGGACUCAGUAUUCUUUUAUGUUGCUAGUCCUAUUGAAACUAAACUCCCAUAGUGAUAAAUUGUAUAAUGAUAAAUGUAACAGGAAGUAUGCCCAUGAACAAUCCUGUUGGGAAAGUAAUGUGGUACAUAUGUUACAUUUAUUGUUGCAAUUUUUAACCUUAAGGAGUGUAUUCUCUGUGCACCAUGGGAGUAAAGAACAUGUUUUGCAUAAGGGGUGCCAAGGUGUUUCUUGACAUGAGCACUUCUGCACAAGCUAGCGGAGGUAUGGUGUUUUUCCUUAUAAUCAAAAUGUUUGGGCUUUCUGGAUGGCACAGUACAAGAAGCACUACUUUUAUGUGCUAAACUGUGUGUCACAGCAAGUAGAAAAAUGAUAUGAUAUUAAAAAGAGGAAGAGUUAAAUAAUCCAGAAGAAUUUGAAGUGGGAGAUUUAUUUAUGCUUUAUAAUUCUGCAGAGGGAAUUAGAAGAGCAAUUUCUUCUCUCUUAUUCAUUUUAAUUUGUUUGUUGUUUCUUUUUACUUUGAAAUUUGUUUCCGUAGUUCCUUUGCCAGGUUAUUUCUUCUACUUUUGUAAUAUUUUCUUUCACUUUUAUGUAUUUUAUUAUGUAUGCGAAAUUGGUGUGAAUGGCUAUGUAAUUUUGUAAAUGUUUUCUUUUUUAAUAAAAUGUUUUUAUUUCUUUGAUUUGUUGAGGGGUUUUUGAAGGGGGAAAAAGUAAAGCAAGCUAAUUUAUCUAAAAUCUCUCUCUCUCUCUCUGUUCCCCUGCUCCAUAAACCCCAGAUAGCCUGAUGACUUCUUAUAUUGUUCACAUUUACCGGAUUUUGUUUAAAUAGGUUUUGAUUACAAUAACUUUUCCUUUAUUAUGAUUUUGACUUUGAUUAUGAUUCUGUCAGUAACUUGAUGUACGCUGAUCAACUUUUUUUUUAUAAAAGAAAUCAAUAACACAUUUUUUUAAAAGCAAUUGCUGAUAGCCUGGUUUAGCCAAUGGUUGAAGUGGUGCUUUAAAAUUCCUUAUAGUAGACUUCUCUGGUCUGCCAAUUGUUGAUAUUUCUAGCCACAGAACUUUGAUGUUAUAUAUUGUCAGUAUUAUGAUUAUUAUUUUGUGUAGUAGCACCUAAUGUUCCCACCCCCACUGUGCUGGGCUUUGUACAAACAUGUAACAAAAGGGCAAUCUCUACUCUGAGGAGUACACAACAUGCACGCAGUUUUGGUCACUUCAUCUAAAAAAAAAGAAUAGAAAAGAUUCUGAGGAGGGCAACGAAAA